UUCNGAGGAAGUAAAAGUCGUAACAAGGUUUCCGUAGGUGAACCUGCGGAAGGAUCAUUAGUGAUUGCCAUCUUGGCUUAAACUAUAUCCAUCUACACCUGUGAACCGUUUGAUUGAAUCUUCUGAUUCAAUUUUACAAACAUUGUGUAAUGAACGUCAUUAGAUCAUAACAAAAAAAAACUUUUAACAACGGAUCUCUUGGCUCUCGCAUCGAUGAAGAACGCAGCGAAAUGCGAUAAGUAAUGUGAAUUGCAGAAUUCAGUGAAUCAUCGAAUCUUUGAACGCAACUUGCGCUCUCUGGUAUUCCGGAGAGCUUGCCUGUUUGAGUGUCAUGAAAUCUCAACCAUUAGGGUUUCUUAAUGGCUUGGAUUUGGAGGUUGCCAUUCUAAAUGGCUCCUCUUAAAGGAGUUAGCAAGUUUUACUAUUGCUAUCUGGCGUAAUAAGUUNCGCUGGAAUGGUAUUGUGAAGCGUGCUUCUAAUCGUCUUCGGACAAUUACUUUGACUCUGGCCUCAAAUCAGGUAGGACUACCCGCUGAAUCGUCUUUCGGGAC
rnacentral:rRNA from 1 species